UUCAUUUGGUUUUCUUUCUUCUUUCUUUCUUUUUGCUAUGUUUUGGGUUGGGGGAAAAUGAAGAAGAAACAGAGAGAGAGAGAAGAAGGGAACGAUAGUGAGCUCGAGACAGCGUUCACGGAAGAGAGAGAGAGAGCUUAGCUCGGGCAGAAACAAAGUAGAGAUAGGAAGAGCAAAGCAAGGGUAUGACAGGGGGACUCGAGAUUUUGUUCGCAGAAGAGGAAGAAAGAAUAAAGAAAAGCUAAGAUGAGAUGGGAACAUAUCAGCCAUAGGACCGCUGGACCUAGCGGAAUACAAAUAGGGCAUGAUCAGCCACUGGAAUCAGGCGGAAUAUAAAUGGGGGUCCGAUCGGCCGCUGGACUCGGCGAUAUAAAUAUGGGCCCGAUCGCCUGCUUGACCCAACGGAAUAUAAAUUGAGGUGAACUCUUACCGCCAGAGGUUAAUAAGCGGCCCCCGUUUAUGAGAUAUGUUUAUGAGGAAAUGCGAAUAAAUUAUUUGAGAUGUAAGGGGUCACGGUACCGUCACAAUUUUGUUGCGAGGAAAUGCAACCCUACGACUAUAUUGAUUGGUUUUGUUGUAUAUUAUUUGUUGAGUCUAAUUGUUGGAGAUGUGAUGAUUGUUGAGAUUGUCUGAAAUUGUUCUAUGAAAACCGAGUUGUUGCUAGAGCUGGAUAUAGUUAGUGUAUGAGUGUUAAGUGGUGCUGAAUUAAUGAUUAAUUAUACUAUUAUUAUAUGGUUA